AGUGAACGCUGGCGGUAGGCCUAACACAUGCAAGUCGAACGGCAGCACAGUAAGAGCUUGCUCUUACGGGUGGCGAGUGGCGGACGGGUGAGGAAUACAUCGGAAUCUACUUUUUCGUGGGGGAUAACGUAGGGAAACUUACGCUAAUACCGCAUACGACCUACGGGUGAAAGCAGGGGAUCUUCGGACCUUGCGCGAUUGAAUGAGCCGAUGUCGGAUUAGCUGGUUGGCGGGAUAAAGGCCCACCAAGGCGACGAUCCGUAGCUGGUCUGAGAGGAUGAUCAGCCACACUGGAACUGAGACACGGUCCAGACUCCUACGGGAGGCAGCAGUGGGGAAUAUUGGACAAUGGGCGCAAGCCUGAUCCAGCCAUACCGCGUGGGUGAAGAAGGCCUUCGGGUUGUAAAGCCCUUUUGUUGGGAAAGAAAAGCAGCAGGUUAAUACCCCGCUGUUCUGACGGUACCCAAAGAAUAAGCACCGGCUAACUUCGUG
rnacentral:rRNA from 1 species